rnacentral:rRNA from 1 species
AAACGUAGGAGGCGAGCGUUAUCCGGAUUUACUGGGUGUAAAGCGCGUGCAGGCGGCCGCGCAAGUCGUGCGUGAAAGCGCCCGGCUCAACCGGGCGAGGUCGUGCGAAACUGCGGGGCUUGAGGCAGGUAGAGGCGUGUGGAAUUCCGGGUGUAGUGGUGAAAUGCGUAGAGAUCCGGAGGAACACCAGUGGCGAAGGCGGCACGCUGGGCCUGGCCUGACGCUCAGACGCGAAAGCAUGGGGAGCGAACGGGAUUAGAAACCCCGGUAGUCCAUGCCGUAAACGCUGUGAACUAGGUGUAGCGGGUGUAACGACCGGCUGUGCCGAAGCAAACGUGAUAAGUUCACCACCUGGGGACUACGGCCGCAAGGUUAAA